rnacentral:rRNA from 1 species
AGAACGAACGCUGGCGGCAUGCCUAAUACAUGCAAGUCGAACGAACUCUUCGGAGUUAGUGGCGCACGGGUGCGUAACGCGUGGGAAUCUGCCCCUUGGUUCGGAAUAACAGUUGGAAACGACUGCUAAUACCGGAUGAUGACGAAAGUCCAAAGAUUUAUCGCCAAGGGAUGAGCCCGCGUAGGAUUAGCUAGUUGGUGAGGUAAAGGCUCACCAAGGCAACGAUCCUUAGCUGGUCUGAGAGGAUGAUCAGCCACACUGGGACUGAGACACGGCCCAGACUCCUACGGGAGGCAGCAGUAGGGAAUAUUGGACAAUGGGCGAAAAGCCUGAUCCAGCAAU